UACGGAGGGUGCAAACGUUGCUCGGAAUCAUUGGGCGUAAAGCGCGCGUAGGCGGUUUGUUAUGUCGGAUGUGAAAGCCCUUGGCUCAACUGAGGAAGUGCAUCCGAAACUGGCAGGCUAGAGUACUAAAGAGGGUCGCGGAAUUCCCGGUGUAGAGGUGAAAUUCGUAGAUAUCGGGAGGAACACCGGUGGCGAAGGCGGCGACCUGGGUAGAUACUGACGCUGAGGUGCGAAAGCGUGGGGAGCAAACAGG
rnacentral:rRNA from 1 species